rnacentral:rRNA from 1 species
AGUUCGGAUUGCAGCCUGCAACUCGGCUGCAUGAAGCCGGAAUCGCUAGUAAUCGCGGAUCAGAAUGCCGCGGUGAAUACGUUCCCGGGUCUUGUACACACCGCCCGUCACACCAUGGGAGUCGGGAAUGCCCGAAGUCGGUGAGCUAACGAAAGAGGCAGCCGCCGAAGGCAGGCCCGGUAACUGGGGUGAAGUCGUAACAAGGUAUC